rnacentral:misc_RNA from 1 species
GUGAAUCAUCGAAUUUUUGAACGCAAAUUGCACUCUCUGGUUUUCCGGGAGAGUAGGCUUGUUGGAGGGCCAGCCUAAUAAAAAUCGACAUUGUUGCUGCCUUAUGGUGUCUCUCGCCGGAUAUGGGUCAUCUUAAAUUCCGUUAAAAGAGAUUUAAAAUUUCUUUUUAUUUUCCUAAGAAUUUUUCUAAUUUUUCUCUCGUUUGCU